UGUUCAUCUAGGUGGCAGGUUCCUUAGGAGUUAACAGUCUUCGAGCCAGGAAACUGCUAUUUUGAGUAAUAGUAAGCUUACACUCAAAGGAGCAUGGACUUAUGGCUGGAUGAUGUGGACAGUGGUCCACAGGACUUUCCCAUCUGCAUGAGCAAUAUGCCUGCAGCCUGAGACUGAAGUCCCCUACAGAGAUCCACUACUGAGAUGAGUUACCUUCACCUCCUCCUUCAUUUAUGUACAACGUAUGUGCUGAGUUUCCAGUACGCUGACUCAUCUCCAUUAGGGCACAUGGCCCAUCCCAUACCAGCUUUCCUGUACUUGUGUUUGUGAUUUUUCAUAUCUGUCACCCCAGUCAGGUCAAUCCCAAAGUCAUAGCAAUGAGUUUGCUUCUCAUAAACAUUCUGAUCAUCUUACCCAUUCUCAGUUUUAAGCAAUCCUUUUGUUUCUUCACAUUAUUACAAUUUCUUCUUACAUUAAUUUUAUUGUUCAUUGUCUGGUAUAAGCUAUAGAUAUUGCAGUGAAACCAUCAAUAGUAAUAAUAAGGAAAUCAAAUAUUUUUAGCCAAAAUCUAAAGUUCUAGCUAGAUGGUUGAGCAGUUGAGAGUGAUGGCUGCUCUGGAGGACCAGAAUUCGUUUCCCAAGUAUCCACACAUUGGCUGCUUCACAACCAUCCUGUCCUGAUAAGUUUUGUGCCAUCUUGACACAAGGUGGAGUUAUCUUGGAGGAGAUUAUUAUCUGAGGUAAUGCCACCAUCAGAUUGCCAGCAGGCAUGCCUGCUGAGCAUUUUCUUGAUUGAUGAUGGAUGUGGAAGGGCCUAACCUAUCACACAGACCUGUGUUUUUACUUAUUUCACUCAAAUUCCCUUAGACUGUUGUAUUUAGCUCAGAGCCACAUAAAUUGUUUUUGUUUUGAGUCAGAAAUAACAACUGUACAGAUAUCUGGGGCUGUCACAAUAAUUUAGCAGGUAAAAGCCCUUGCCACACAUUUCUAACAACCUGUGUUUAGACCUCAGAACCCAAGGUGGAAGAAGAGAAUUGACUCCUGAAAGUUGUUCUUUGACCGCCAUCUAUAUCCUUUUGCAUGGAUACACACCUGCAUGCAUGCACACACUCAGAAUAAUCAUUAUAUGGGAAUUUGAAAAAGGAGAAAGUUGAACA
rnacentral:lncRNA from 1 species